GCGGCUGCAGACGUCCACGCCCACCGUGGGCUCCGGCUCCGGCUCCGCCCUGCGCGCACCGGCCACGUAGCGCCGCAGCAGGGACGUCUUGCCCACCGCCGCGUCCCCGAGCAGUGCGAUCCGAAACUGCAAAAGACAAUGCAGGGUGGUGACUGUGUACCUGAGCUGUGUUCAGCGUCUAGUCUACCUUUGCGAGCUGUGAUCCACUCUUCAGAUUCCUGCGAUAAUGGCAUAAUCAUGAAGACUGUACACAAGGUGUGUAUGAAAAUGCGACGGAAUAAUAAGGCCCAGCGUAAACAGCAGGUGCUUAAAAAGAUACAUAUUAGCAGAGGAAACAAACUUUGAACAAAUAAUCGGCACUUUCAAUAGCCUCCUUCAAGAAACCCUUCCAGCCUCCCGCUACACCUUCUGGCACCCCAGGACCGUCCGGGGAGAAAAAGCAAAGUCGCCGGCGGAACUUAAUCCGUAGGGUCCGCCAACUGUUCUUGGGUGUGAGUCUAGCUCGCUGUAGCCCGGGUGGAAGCCGCUAUGAUCAGGGCGGGCUCAGGAGCACGACCGGGCGCGCGUGAACUACAUUUCCCAGUGGCGCUGUGCGGCAGGCGGAGGGCGCAGGCGCUGCUGAGGGCGGGCGCGUAUAAAAGCCGGCUGCAGGUCGCGUUCCUCCCUUUUCUCUCUUCGUCCCCGUACCCAGCUAUGUUUGUGGCGCCAUGGACUUCGGCCCGGCUAACCGCCCUCCCCCACCCCCGGGGCCCAGUCCUCGGCCCGCACUCCCCGGAUGCGUUCCUCGAGGUUGGCGGAUGCGGAGCCUGCUGCGGAGGAACCGGGCUUCUCCAUCUCGGCAGUGGAGGCCCCAGAAAUCGCCAUGACCGCUUGCGCGGCCGCAGCCCGGCCUGCGCACCGCGUCCUUCGACGAUGGGGACUCCAUGAAGAUGGUGGUAAGGGGGAAGACAAGAAGAUGUGACCGUGGUGACCGGCAACAGUAGGGCCUGGUUACACUGAAUGUUCUUGGAAAUGUCUGAGAAGCCGGCCUGCCACUGCUCAAAUAAACUAAGGGCCAUUGACCAGUGAAGUGGCCAUCAUUCGUGAUGUGGUCUACAGUUGGUUCGACAAGUCAACAAGAGGACUGGACUGCCCUGGAAGCAAGCAGAAGUCUGGCUAAUACUCAGCCAGGCUGCCUUUAACACCAGCACUUGAAGGGCCAGCCUGGUCCACAAGGAGAAACCCUGAAAAAUAAAGUAAAAUACAUUGACUUACUAUAUACUUAGGUCAAUAAAGACUUUGGAAAUCCUG